CAGCGAAACUGCGAAUGGCUCAUUAUAUAAGUUAUCGUUUAUUUGAUAGUACCUUACUACUUGGAUAACCGUGGUAAUUCUAGAGCUAAUACAUGCUAAAAAUCCCGACUUCGGAAGGGAUGUAUUUAUUAGAUUAAAAACCAAUGCCCUUUGGGCUCCUUGGUGAUUCAUAAUAACUUUUCGAAUCGCAUGGCCUUGCGCCGGCGAUGGUUCAUUCAAAUUUCUUCCCUAUCAACUUUCGAUGUUUGGGUAUUGGCCAAACAUGGUCGCAACGGGUAACGGAGGGUUAGGGCUCGACCCCGGAGAAGGAGCCUGAGAAACGGCUACUACAUCCAAGGAAGGCAGCAGGCGCGCAAAUUACCCAAUCCCGAUUCGGGGAGGUAGUGACAAUAAAUACUGAUACAGGGCUCUUUUGGGUCUUGUAAUUGGAAUGAGUACAAUUUAAAUCCCUUAACGAGGAACAAUUGGAGGGCAAGUCUGGUGCCAGCAGCCGCGGUAAUUCCAGCUCCAAUAGCGUAUAUUAAAGUUGUUGUGGUUAAAAAGCUCGUAGUUGAACCUUGGGCCUGGCUGGCCGGUCCGCCUCACCGCGUGUACUGGUCCGGCCGGGCCUUUCCCUCUGUGGAACCUCAUGCCCUUCACUGGGUGUGGCGGGGAAACAGGACUUUUACUUUGAAAAAAUUAGAGUGCUCCAGGCAGGCCUAUGCUCGAAUACAUUAGCAUGGAAUAAUGAAAUAGGACGUGUGGUUCUAUUUUGUUGGUUUCUAGGACCGCCGUAAUGAUUAAUAGGGACAGUCGGGGGCAUCAGUAUUCAAUUGUCAGAGGUGAAAUUCUUGGAUUUAUUGAAGACUAACUACUGCGAAAGCAUUUGCCAAGGAUGUUUUCAUUAAUCAGGAACGAAAGUUAGGGGAUCGAAGACGAUCAGAUACCGUCGUAGUCUUAACCAUAAACUAUGCCGACUAGGGAUCGGACGAUGUUAUUUUUUGACGCGUUCGGCACCUUACG
rnacentral:rRNA from 1 species